rnacentral:rRNA from 1 species
AUGGACGGCAGACAGGCUUGCGCGACGACAACUACCACACCCCCUGCUUGUCCAUUCUGUGAUCAAGCGCCAGAAACAAUCAAUCAGAUCCUGCUUGGCUGCGUCUUUGCAAGGCAAGUGUGGCUGACCAUCCUUGACCACUGGGACAAACCAACAUGGCUACCAAUCAUGGAUGCUAGUCUUAUGGAAUGGUGGACCUCCGUACACCCACAACCAAAGCUCAGGAAGGAGACAUGGACUGUAAUUGCACUGGUUGCGUGGAUGUUGUGGAAGCAUAGGAAUGAGGUCGUGUUCGAUGGAGCCACUCCUUCCACGAGUGAGCUUCUCAGGAAGAUCAAGUUGGAAGGGCAAGAUUGGAGGGCGGCCGGCCUUCUGCGCAAGGCAGGAUCGCUCCCGAUUAGAGUAGAUGAGUGGGCCAGUAGUGAGUAA